UGGGGGAUAUUGCACAAUGGGCGAAAGCCUGAUGCAGCGACGCCGCGUGGGGGAUGAAGGCUUUCGGGUUGUAAACCUCUUUCGCUAUCGAACAAGGCCCGCUUAGGGUGGGUUGAGGGUAGGUGGAGAAGAAGCGCCGGCUAACUACGUGCCAGCAGCCGCGGUAAUACGUAGGGCGCGAGCGUUGUCCGGAAUUAUUGGGCGUGAAGGGCUUGUAGGCGGCUUGUUGCGCCUGCUGUGAAAACGCGGGGCUUAACUUCGCGCGUGCAGUGGGUACGGGCAGGCUUGAGUGUGGUAGGGGUGACUGGAAUUCCAGGUGUAGCGGUGGAAUGCGCAGAUAUCUGGAGGAACACCGAUGGCGGAGGCAGGUCACUGGGCCAUUACUGACGCUGAGGAGCGAAAGCAUGGGUAGCGAACAGG
rnacentral:rRNA from 1 species